UACGUAGGUGGCAAGCGUUAUCCGGAAUUAUUGGGCGUAAAGAGCGCGCAGGUGGUUGAUUAAGUCUGAUGUGAAAGCCCACGGCUUAACCGUGGAGGGUCAUUGGAAACUGGUCGACUUGAGUGCAGAAGAGGGAAGUGGAAUUCCAUGUGUAGCGGUGAAAUGCGUAGAGAUAUGGAGGAACACCAGUGGCGAAGGCGGCUUCCUGGUCUGUAACUGACACUGAGGCACGAAAGCGUGGGGAGCAAACAGGAUUAGAUACCCCGUA
rnacentral:rRNA from 1 species